GACAGAGGUGCCAAGCGUUAUGCGGAAUCACUGGGCUUAAAGCGUGUGUAGGCGGCACGUUAAGUGCCUUGUGAAAUCCCACGGCUCAACCGUGGAACUGCUGGGCAUACUGGCGUUCUUGAGCCAGCCAGGGGUCGUCGGAACAAACGGUGGAGCGGUGAAAUGCGUAGAUAUCGUGUGGAACGCCAAAGGCGAAAGCAGACGACUGGGGCUGAGCUGACGCUGAGACACGAAAGCCAGGGGAGCAAACGGG
rnacentral:rRNA from 1 species